rnacentral:misc_RNA from 1 species
GAUGAAGAACGCAGUGAAAUGCGAUAAGUAAUGUGAAUUGCAGAAUUCAGUGAAUCAUCGAAUCUUUGAACGCACAUUGCGCCCGCCAAUAUUCUGGCGGGCAUGCCUGUCUGAGCGUCAUUUCAACCCUCAGCCCCCGCUCGCGGGGCGCUGGCGUUGGGGAUCGGCCGUCCUCGCGGCGGCCGGCCCCGAAACACAGUGGCGGUCUCUCGCGGACUCCCCUGCGUAGUAGCACUACCUCGCAGAAGGGACGAGCGGGCUGACCACCCCGUAAAACCCCCCACUUCUCCAGGUUGACCUCAGAUCAGGUAGGAAUACCCGCUGAACUUAAGCAUAUCAAUAAGCGGCGGA